GAAUUGAGGGAGUACCUGACUAAGAAGCCCCGGCUAACUACGUGCCAGCAGCCGCGGUAAUACGUAGGGGGCAAGCGUUAUCCGGAUUUACUGGGUGUAAAGGGAGCGUAGACGGCACGGCAAGCCAGAUGUGAAAGCCCGGGGCUCAACCCCGGGACUGCAUUUGGAACUGCUGAGCUAGAGUGUCGGAGAGGCAAGUGGAAUUCCUAGUGUAGCGGUGAAAUGCGUAGAUAUUAGGAGGAACACCAGUGGCGAAGGCGGCUUGCUGGACGAUGACUGACGUUGAGGCUCGAAAGCGUGGGGAGCAAACAGGAUUAGAUACCCUGGUUUUCCACGCCGUAAACGAUGACUGCUAGGUGUCGGGUGGCAAAGCCAUUCGGUGCCGCAGCUAACGCAAUAAGCAGUCCACCUGGGGAGUACGUUCGCAAGAAUGAAACUCAAAGGAAUUGACGGA
rnacentral:rRNA from 1 species